CGUGCUUCCAGUGGGUCGUGGAACCCUAGACCCCUUUCCCCAAUCCCACGGCCGCCUCCAUCCUCCCGUGCUCCACCCCGAGCGUGCCCGGGCUCCGCCUCCUCCUCCUCAGCCGCCUCCUCUUCUCCCACAGCCCCCCACCAUUCCUCCCUUCUGCCCCCUCCUCCUUCUUGGAUCCCCACCACGGUGCCGACCUGCAGGCAAAGGACAACAGCGGCAGCGCUCUCCUCAUGCCCUCCACUCCCUCGACAACGGUGGCGGCGGCGCCCUCUGGUGGCGGAGGAGGGGGAGAUGGUGGAGCGGCAGCGACCUUCCCCUCACGCAUCCCAUCCCCCCUCGUCAUCCCGGAUCCCACCGGACCCGAGGCGUGAGGGUGCGGCAGCGACCUGCAAGGGAAGGGCGACGCUCGAAUCGAUCCAGCGCCAUGGAUCGGUCCCUGCGGAAGAAAGAGAAGAUGAGGGAGAGAGAAGUAAGGAGAGGAAGGAGAAAGAGAGAGGAAAGAGGAGAGGGAGGUGCAGCGUUGACCGAUGGCUCGCGCCAUGGUGCGGCAGACGGCCAUUUCGAUGAGAUCCACCACCUCUCGAGGUUCUCAUCUGCCCCAGGUUGCGACGAAGCCGCGGGAGGUGGAGAGAACUCGAUGCGAGGAAGGUACGGAGGAGGAUCUCAACCAGCGUGUCUUCAGCCGGAGGAGGGAAGCAGCGGAUGCGAGCUAGGAGGCGGAUCGGCUCGGCCCAGCCAUGGAGCUGCCGCUGCGGACUCCCCGCCGGCCUCCUUCGUCGUCAUGUGGAUUUGCAUGGCAAGUGAUGUUGCAUUGCCAAUGACACAUCUGGAAUUGUCGUUCGUGACUCCUUGGUUGGGUGCUGCCAUAAAACCUGUAACAGCAGCAAGAUGCAGUUCUCCGCAAAUCACUUUUAGAUCUGAGAAAGAAGAUGAACAAGAGAAUCCAAUAGAAGAAUUUGGUGAAGAACAAGAACUUUCUGAAUCCGACGCUGUCAAUCGGGCCACAGAGAGGAAGUGUGGUGGAGAUGAGAUGGGGACAGAGGAUCCUGCAGCGAUGUUGUUUCUUUGUUCUCCUGCUCAAGGUUUGCUAUCAAGAUCUCAAAAAGGAAAAACAACUUUACUCUGUUUUCUGGAGAACCUUCCCAUAGAGUCACUACCUCAACAGAGACAAAUAUGCGAUCAAGGAUAUAUUCGAUGGAUUUUCAAGCAAAACUUGGAGGCUAUUUUUCCAGAUAGUUUGGUGCUCUCAUGGUUAUUUUGUAGAGAUUGUUCCUCUGUUCAUUUCUUGGUAACCGUCUACUGCAGCUCAGCUACUGUCCAGCAGCUGACCUUAUGGAUUUGUUGGAAGCCACACAGGGCACCCGAGAAGGAGAGGAGAAUGCUCUGAAGAGAGGAAAUGAUAAGUUUCAUUGUUUUGUUUUAAGAGCAAGGGAGUUGAUAUGUAGUCCCCUAGCUUAUUUGUAUUCUACUAUGUGUAUGGCCAAAGA
rnacentral:rRNA from 1 species